UACGUAGGUGGCAAGCGUUGUCCGGAUUUACUGGGCGUAAAGAGCGCGCAGGCGGUCGUUCAAGUCGCGUGUGAAAGCCCCCGGCUCAACUGGGGAGGGUCACGCGAUACUGAUCGACUCGAAGGCAGGAGAGGGUAGUGGAAUUCCCGGUGUAGUGGUGAAAUGCGUAGAUAUCGGGAGGAACACCAGUGGCGAAGGCGACUACCUGGCCUGUUCUUGACGCUGAGGGGCGAAAGCUAGGGGAGCAAACGGG
rnacentral:rRNA from 1 species